rnacentral:rRNA from 1 species
GCUUAACACAUGCAAGUCGAACGGAAAGGCCCAGCUUGCUGGGUACUCGAGUGGCGAACGGGUGAGUAACACGUGGGUGAUCUGCCCCUGACUUUGGGAUAAGCCUGGGAAACUGGGUCUAAUACCGGAUAUUCAUUUUUCCUCGCAUGGGGAUUUGUGGAAAGCUUUUGCGGUUGGGGAUGGGCCCGCGGCCUAUCAGCUUGUUGGUGGGGUAAUGGCCUACCAAGGCGACGACGGGUAGCCGACCUGAGAGGGUGAUCGGCCACACUGGGACUGAGACACGGCCCAGACUCCUACGGGAGGCAGCAGUGGGGAAUAUUGCACAAUGGGCGCAAGCCUGAUGCAGCGACGCCGCGUGAGGGAUGACGGCCUUCGGGUUGUAAACCUCUUUCAGCUCCGACGAAGCGCAAGUGACGGUAGGAGCAGAAGAAGCACCGGCCAACUACGUGCCAGCAGCCGCGGUAAUACGUAGGGUGCAAGCGUUGUCCGGAAUUACUGGGCGUAAAGAGCUCGUAGGCGGUUUGUCGCGUCGUCUGUGAAAUUCUGCAGCUUAACUGCAGGCGUGCAGGCGAUACGGGCAGACUUGAGUACUACAGGGGAGACUGGAAUUC